UGGUGUAGCUCAGUUGGUAGAGCAGCUGAUUCGUAAUCAGCAGGUCGCCGGUUCGAGUCCGGCCACC
rnacentral:tRNA from 1 species